rnacentral:lncRNA from 1 species
CAUCUGCAGAGAGUGAUAGCUUUGCCUCUUCCUGGCCUAGUCUAAUUCCUUCCAUUUUUUUCUUCUCUUAUUGCUAAAGCUAACGUUUCGAGUACAAUAUUGAACAACAGUGGUGAUAAUGGACAUCCUUGUUUCUCCCUUGAUCUUAUGGGAAGUAAGAUCAUAUUCUGUUCUUUCCUUUGAUUUCUCAUGGCCAAGAAAUAGGGCUCUGCCUCCCUGCCACAGUUCUUUGUGAUGUAAUAUAUCUUGGUUGGUUUUGAAGUUCUCCAUUUUUACCUCCGUAUUUCUGGGAUCAGACUGAGGAGGCUGGGGGAUGGGAUUGGGGUGGAGAGGUUCAGAGUCAUGGCCUGAAGGAAGAAUUGGAAGCACAAUUAGGGUUAGCGUUGGGGGUGGGGGAGGACUCAGUGAGUCACACUGAAAGCCAGAGCUCAGGUCAAAGACUCCUCUUUAACUGUAAUUGUGAGUGGGGUCAGUUUCCUCCAGAGGGUUGGACUGGAUGGAUUGCUAAAGUCUCUUCCAGCUCUGAUCUCCUAGGAUCCUAAGACAAGGAAGGGCAAGAGGAAUGUGCAUUAGAAGCUGUUGCAGGACUGCGCGUGCGCUGACAGGAGAGGAAGGAGGGAGGGAGGAGCAAGCCACAGGCUGGAGGAGGAGGAGGAGGAGGAGGAGGAGGAGGAGGAGGAGGAGGAUGGCAGCAGCUUUGCAGCCACUGCUGGUCACCUUGGUUUGGGCUGGUGUCCUGCUCCUCCCAACAGCGACCCAUGGCGCCGCCCUCGCUCAGCCCCGGACCCUGCCUUUCUCUUGGAACCUUGGGCAAAUGGCAAGGGCCCUGCAGUUGGACUGGCCACCUGGUUCCCCCAAGGCAGCCCUGCUGGCCCAGGCCCUAGAGCGGCUCCUCGAGGCAGAGGCCGGGUGGCAGGAGUGGGAACGGGAGACCAAGGCUGAAGCUGCUGCCCUGGCCCAGCUCCUCUUGCGCCUGUGGCGGGGCUCCCAUCUUGAGCCUGAGGUCAGCAUGGAAGAGGCAGUGUCACUUGGUCCCCAGACCCAAGCCAACGAUGAGGCAGCAGAUUCCAAGCAGGCACUACUCAGAUUUCUGAUGAGCCGGCUGUUGGCCAAGAUGUCGGAGACCCGAAUCCCUCCCACCUUGGUCUGGGCGGGACCGUGGCCCCGGCAACGUCGUCAUUUGCGCCGGCCCCUGGGCCUGGCUCCUGCUUCCAUGUCACAUGGGACCGCACUACUCGGCCUGAACCAUCUGGAGGCCUUGGCAGUGCAGCAGGGGGUACCGCUUGCUAGCACACGCUACUGGCCAGAGUGA